rnacentral:lncRNA from 1 species
CGGAUACGUCUCUAGAAAUAGGGAAUAAGUAAAGCGAACAGGUGUAGUGUAAAAGAAAUAUAUAUGAUCAAUUCCAUGUGAGGGAUAUGCAAGCUCCAUGUUGUAGUGGUGUCGUUGAGUUUCAAAAGGAGACUCGCCGGCUCCGAUUUUAUGCCAAAUAAACAUGAGAAAAGAGUUACAUGAGGAAAUUUGAUUCUUGGUACUAUAUAUAAAAAGAGAAUAGUUAGUUGAAAGUCAUAUUAGUCAUAACUGGGAACUCGUUACAUACCAAACUAGAUGUUCCACAUACUUGGCCAAACUAAAUAUACACAAAACAGCCCUCACAAAUGUAUCUCUAAAGAUUAAUAUAACAGAGUGGGUAAAAUUAUCCUUUCACGAUUAUUAUAUGAAAUCACAGUUUCAGAUCCUUAGUUGAGCGUAACUACAAUUUCUCUACAUACUAGCAUAUCUAAAUCCAAACCAAAGUAGUCAAUUUAUCACACAAAAUUAGUAGGGUCCUUUUAUUUUAUUUUAAAAAAGAUAGCAUAACAUAUAGUUCUACAUGACAACUCCAUUUAUAUGAUUGAAAUCAGACUUUUCACAACUAAAAAGAAAUUAUUAUAUAAUAGCAACUGUAAUAUAAUUACGGACAAAGAAAUGCGUAACUCUUGUUUUUUUCUAACACGACUGCAAAUGUUUAACUAAAUAGAAGAAUCAGAUUUUACCUUUUGUAGUGUAGUGAACUAGGACGUCGGCGUAGAAUCUACUCUCUUGUUAUGAUCAGAUUCACCCCUCGAACCUAAUGAGUUCGAUAAAAGCAAACAGAAAAUACAAGAAUUUUGGCAUGGAUGGUGAUAGCUAAACGUUAUAAAUAACUUCCACCAUGUAUGAUGUUCUUAUGAUUAAGAAAAGUUUCUCCUUUGUUGAAGAUGAGGAAGUAGUUAUAGGAAAAGAAUGGUAAGACAAAUUUUUUAUUUUUUAAAUUCAAAUUUUACAGAGUAGGGAGGUCACGGGUAGAUCUUGGAGUCCCAAAAUGAGUCGUUUGAAGUUGCUAAAGUGAUUUUCUACAUUAAAAAAAUCAUAUUUUCAAAAAGUCUUUUGGCUUCUUGUGUUGAUUGAUCAGUUGAAUAUGAAAGAGAGAAUUUCAAAGCACUACAAUUUUGCACAAAAAUGGAAGAACAUAGUCCUGCUUUUACCGAAAGCAUUUUGGAAAUUUUCUGAAAUCGAAUAGAGAGAAAUUGAAAGGGAGUGGCUGAUCUUUUUUAGGGGAUUAGGUUAGGGAGGUUUUCUGAUAUAUUUC